GGACAACCUACCCUGAGGAGGGGGAUAACCCCGGGAAACUGGGGAUAAUACCCCAUAGACUAUGGAUGCUGGAAUGCUCUGUAGUUAAAAGGCCCGCCGCCUCAGGAUGGGUCUGCGGCCGAUUAGGUUGUUGUUGGGGUAACGGCCCAACAAGCCUGUAAUCGGUACGGGUUGUGGGAGCAAGAGCCCGGAGAUGGAUUCUGAGACACGAAUCCAGGCCCUACGGGGCGCAGCAGGCGCGGAAACUUUACAAUGCGAGCAAUCGUGAUAAGGGAACUCCGAGUGCCCGUAAAAUCGGGCUGUCCGCCAGUGUAAAUAACUGGUGAAGAAAGGGCCGGGCAAGACCGGUGCCAGCCGCCGCGGUAAUACCGGCGGCUCGAGUGGUGGCCACUAUUACUGGGCUUAAAGCGUUCGUAGCUGGUCUGUUAAGUCUCUGGGGAAAUCUUCCGGCUUAACCGGAAGGCGUCUCAGGGAUACUGACAGACUAGGGACCGGAAGAGGUGAGAGGUACUCCAGGGGUAGGAGUGAAAUCCUGUAAUCCUUGGGGGACCACCUGUGGCGAAGGCGUCUCACCAGGACGGCUCCGACAGUGAGGAACGAAAGCUGGGGGAGCAAACCGGAUUAGAUACCCGGGUAGUCCCAGCUGUAAACGAUGCGCGUUAGGUGUAUCGGUGACCACGAGUCACCGAGGUGCCGAAGAGAAAUCGUGAAACGCGCCGCCUGGGAAGUACGGUCGCAAGGCUGAAACU
rnacentral:rRNA from 1 species